GACGAACGCUGGCGGCGUGCUUAACACAUGCAAGUCGAACGGAAAGGCCCUGCUUUUGUGGGGUGCUCGAGUGGCGAACGGGUGAGUAACACGUGAGUAACCUGCCCUUGACUUUGGGAUAACUUCAGGAAACUGGGGCUAAUACCGGAUAGGAGCUCCUGCUGCAUGGUGGGGGUUGGAAAGUUUCGGCGGUUGGGGAUGGACUCGCGGCUUAUCAGCUUGUUGGUGGGGUAGUGGCUUACCAAGGCUUUGACGGGUAGCCGGCCUGGGAGGAUGACCGGCCACAUUGGGACUGAGAUACGGCCCAGACUACUACGGGAGGCAGCAGUGGGGAAUAUUGCCCAAUAGGCGGAGGCCUGAUGCAGCAACGCCGCGUGCGGGAUGACGGCCUUCGGGUUGUAAACCGAUUUCGCCUGUGACGAAGCGUGAGUGACGGUAAUGGGUAAAGAAGCACCGGCUAACUACGUG
rnacentral:rRNA from 1 species